rnacentral:ncRNA from 2 species
CUCUUAUCGAGAGUGGCUGAGGGACUGGACCUAUGAAGCCCGGCAACCCAAGAUAUUUUUCUUGAAGGUGCUACAUCCAGCAGGUAUAUCCUGGCAGAUAAGAA